CCUACGGUGGACGGCAGUGAGGAAUAUUGGUCAAUGGCCGAGAGGCUGAACCAGCCAAGUCGCGUGAGGGAAGACGGCCCUACGAGUUGUAAACCGCUUUUGUCGGGGAGCAAAGCGAACCACGUGUGGUUCAUUGAGAGUACCCGAAGAAAAAGCAUCGGCUAACUCCGUGCCAGCAGCCGCGGUAAUACGGAGGAUGCGAGCGUUAUCCGUUUUUAUUGGGUUUAAGGGUGCGCAGGCGGAGGUGCAAGUCAGCGGUCAAAUUGCGGGGCUCAACCCCGUACUGCCGUUGAAACUGCAUCCCUUGAGUGCGCGAGAAGUAUGCGGAAUGCGUGGUGUAGCGGUGAAAUGCAUAGAGAUCACGCAGAACUCCGAUUGCGAAGGCAGCAUACCGGCGCGCAACUGACGCUCAUGCACGAAAGCGUGGGUAUCGAACAGGAUUAGAUACCCCUGUAGUC
rnacentral:rRNA from 1 species